UGGUGGAGUGAUUUGUCUGGUUAAUUCCGUUAACGAACGAGACCUCGACCUGCUAAAUAGUUGGGCCAAUCCGCUUGGAUUGGUUAGGAGCUGGGCGCUUCGUCUUCGGGCGGACGCAGCCCUCUUCGCCACUAACUUCUUAGAGGGACUAUCGGUGCUUAGCCGGUGGAAGUUCGAGGCAAUAACA
rnacentral:rRNA from 1 species